AUUUUCUUUAAAAAAGUAUUGACAUUGUAAAGAAGAAAAUGGUAAGAUUAUAAGGUAGUCAAAAAUAAUAUUAGCGCGGGAUGGAGCAGUUCGG
rfam:Staphylococcus capitis strain CR03 genome assembly, contig: BN1517_Contig_16